UGGGGAUUCCUGCCUACCUGAGGCCUUCUGAAGCAUGGGCCGGAGGUGUCAAGACACAAUUUUACCAGGGUUUUGGUGUUUUAGGUCUAGUUAGAGAUAGGAGCCCAAAAGAGCACCAAUGGAUCGAAGGAUGAGCAUCUUGUGGCCCUUCAUAGUAGCAGCAAGAAAUACAUGAUCCUGGUCAUCUAAAAGCAGAUAAACCAGCGCAUGGACUACUCAGUUCUGCACAGAAACCCACAAGUGGUUUGUCACGGUGAUGUGACUGACUGGGAACAAACUAACUAUAGGGAAAGGAGUUUGGAAGCCAUACGAGAGAUCUGCUUACAGGUGAUGGGGAGGGUCUCCACUGAGCUGUAAAAGCCUGAAAUGUGAAGAGGAUCUCACACUUUCUGGAGCUGUGGAGACAUUUCUCUGCACUGGACACCGGCACCACAAUUGUGUCUGCAUCUGUUCCUGACAGAUUUGAGAGGAAAUACAAGAGACAACCAAUCCAAAGUGCCAGACUGAAAGCCUUCUCCAGCUUCCAACACAUCUUUCCCAGUGUCCGAGAGCCUGAAGGGUUUUUUCAAUCAAUUUUUUUCUUUAUGUGCUCAAAAUUGAAAACCCUCAACAAGUGUCUGUGAAGACUCCCCCCCAAUCUUUUCCUUUUCCGGGGAAAAUUACGAGCAUGUGUCUCAGCUCACAUCUCUUGGCUCCUUGCAAUCAGCAGCUGGGGGUCAGCUUUGAUAUUUGCUCAUUUUGAGGGACAUGGUUGCUGGCUGCUUGUUGUCCCCACAGUGCACGCAUGAGUUUCUCCCACACUUCUGUCUCCAAACAAACUGGACAAGAUGCUCUGCAUCUUAAGUGUGUGCAUUCAGGGAUAUGAAAGAAAGACCAAUCUGAAUCUGAAGGUUAGGAUGAGACUCCUUUUAAACUUUGACUGCUUACUGCCAAAAGAAAAGCUCAUUAUUUCUAUCUUCUGCUAAAUAUGGGUUCACAGAUUCGAGAAAGGAAGUGGUUGUGUUCUCAUGCAUCUGGUUCACCUAUUGCUUCAACAGCCAGAAUUAUAGAGCCAUGUACUUCUGCAGUGCUCUGAUUAUGGACAGAAACCAAGUUUGUAACAAACAUGAACAAUCUGCAGUUCUCUCUUAAACAGAAGGAGCUGUGUAUUUGUGCGGCCCUUUCUGUUCUAGUCAUGGAUUUAAGUGCAGUACGAAGAUGGUUCUAGCUAAAUAUGUUCCAAGCUCUAGAGCUUUUAAGUUAGUUUAAUUACAAAUAUGUAUUUUUUUCAGCUACUUAUCUGAAAUUUGUCAGCCUCAAGAUGCUCUGUAGUUGAGGUAAUCAUGCAAUAUUUAAACUGUGUAGGCAUAGACUGUCAUUAGAAUUUAAUACAAGUGGUAUUUCAAAGAGAAUUUGGAUAAGGGCUGAUACACACCAAUGAGGUUUGUGCAGUAUAGGCAUGCAAGGAAAGUUUCCCAGUUCUGCAGAAUAAAACAGGCUCAGAAAAGUGUGGUAAAGGGUUCAGAAUGGGUCAGAAGCCCUUACUAUUAACUCCAGUGUAAUAAGGGCACAGCGGACAGACUGGUGUAAAAUCUGGUAGUUCUCUUAACCACAGGGCAGAGCAAUCUCCUUCUCAUGAGUGCAC